GACGAACGCUGGCGGCGUGCCUAAUACAUGCAAGUCGAACGCAGUGGGGACGGGUGAGUAACACGUGGGUAACCUCCCAUCAGAGGGGAUAACACUUGGAAACAGGUGCUAAACCGAUACUGAUGGAUGGACCCGCGGUGCAGUGGCUAGUUGGAGGGGUAACGGCUCACCAGGGCCAAGAUGCAUAGCCGACCUGAGAGGAUGAUCAGCCACACUGGGACUGAGACACGGCCCAGAAUCCUACGGGAGGCAGCAGUGGGGAAUCUUGGGCAAUGGGCGAAAGUCUGACCGAGCAAUGCCGCGUGAGUGAAGAAGGUUUUCGGAUCGUAAAGCUCUUUUGGUAGAGAGGCGGUAUCUGACGAGGAAGCCACGGCUAACUACGUGCCAGCAGCCGCGGUAAUAC
rnacentral:rRNA from 1 species